rnacentral:rRNA from 1 species
CCUACGGGUGGCAGCAGUGGGGAAUAUUGCACAAUGGGGGAAACCCUGAUGCAGCGACGCCGCGUGAGUGAAGAAGUAAUUCGUUAUGUAAAGCUCUAUCAGCAGGGAAGAAAAUGACGGUACCUGAGUAAGAAGCCCCGGCUAACUACGUGCCAGCAGCCGCGGUAAUACGUAGGGGGCAAGCGUUAUCUGGAUUGACUGGGUGGAAAGGGAGCGUAGACGGCAGUGCAAGUAUGGAGUGAAAGGCGGGGGCUCAAACCCCGGACUGCGCUGGAAACUCUACGGCUGGAGUGCAGGAGAGGUAAGUGGAAAAUCUAGUGUAGCGGUGAAAUGCGUAGAUAUUAGGAGGGAAACCAGUGGCGCAGGCGGCUUACUGGACUGUAACUGACGUGGAGGCUCGAAAGCGUGGGGAGCACACAGGAGUAGAGACCCCAGUAGUC